rnacentral:rRNA from 1 species
GUGUCAGCCGCCGCGGUAAAACGUAGGUGGCGAGCGUUAUCCGGAUUUACUGGGCGUAAAGCGUGUGCAGGCGGGAUGGUAAGUGGUGUAUGAAAUCUCCCAGCUUAACUGGGAGGGGUUAUGCCAGACUGCCAUUCUAGAGUGCGAGAGAGGAACGUGGAAUUCCGGGUGUAGUGGUGAAAUGCGUAGAGAUCCGGAGGAACCCCAGAGGCGAAGGCGGCGUUCUGGCUCGCAACUGACGCUCAGACACGACAGCAUGGGGAGCGAACGGGAUUAGAAACCCCGGUAGUCC